GAUGAACGCUGGCGGCGUGCCUAAUACAUGCAAGUCGAGCGAACAGACGAGGAGUUUGCUCCUCUGACGUUUGCCGCGGACGUGAGAGUAACACGUGGAUCACCUACCUAUAAGACUGGGAUAACUUCGGGAAACCGGAGCAAAUACCGGAUAAUCUCUUUAACCGCAUGGUUCAAUAGAGAAAGACGGUUUUGCUUUCACUUAUAGAUGGAUCCGCGCCGCAUUAGCUAGUUGGAAAGGUAACGGCCUACCAAGGAGAGGAUGCGAAGCGCACCGGUGAGGGUGAUCGGCCAGACGGGAAGUGAGACACGACCCAGACACCUACGGGAAGCAGCAGUAGGGAAUCUUACGCAAUGGGGGAAAGCCUGACGGUGCAACGCCGCGUGAGUGAUGAAGGUCUGCGGAUCGUAAGACUCUGUUAUUAGGGAAGAAGAAAUGUGUAAGUAACUAGGCACGUCUUGACGGUACCUAAUCAGAAAGCCACGGCUAACUACGUG
rnacentral:rRNA from 1 species